UUUCUCUCUUUCUGUUUCUCUGCACCAAGCAAGGACAAAGGUGGCUGUCUACAAGCCAGGAAGAGUGCUCUCACCAGGAAUGGAAUCAGCUGGCACUUUAGUCUUUUACUUCUAGCCUCCAGAACUACAACCAGGGUUCUCUAGGCAUUUGGGAAAAAACAGCUGCACAAAGAAGCCAUGUCAAGGAGGAUAAACAGAACAUCUAACUCAGAGGAAAUAGCUUUCCAGGCAGUGGGCAAAAAUGAACCUGGUUCAGUAACAAUUUGGCAAGCCAGCCAGGAGCUAAGUCCAGAUGGACCUUUUUGCCUGAGAUUUGUCAGUCCCUUGCCAGUGUGGAGAACCUAUGGACAAGUCAAGCAACUGCCGUGAGCAUUUCUCCUGGGACUGUUCCAGGAAUUUUUCCUGGCUUGGUGCUGCUGACUCCUUGGCGCAUAUUUUCACUUUGCAGUAGAGAGACAGUUUCUUGCUUUGGAAGACGUCUUUUUG
rnacentral:lncRNA from 1 species